rnacentral:rRNA from 1 species
CGUAGGGCGCGAGCGUUGUCCGGAUUUAUUGGGCGUAAAGAGCUCGUAGGCGGCUUGUCGCGUCGACUGUGAAAACCCGCGGCUCAACUGUGGGCUUGCAGCCGAUACGGGCAGGCUAGAGUUCGGUAGGGGAGACUGGAAUUCCUGGUGUAGCGGUGAAAUGCGCAGAUAUCAGGAGGAACACCGGUGGCGAAGGCGGGUCUCUGGGCCGAUACUGACGCUGAGGAGCGAAAGCGUGGGGAGCGAACAGGAUUAGAUACCCUGGUAGUCCACGCUGUAAACGUUGGGCGCUAGGUGUGGGGGGCCUCUCCGGUUCUCUGUGCCGCAGCUAACGCAUUAAGCGCCCCGCCUGGGGAGUACGGCCGCAAGGCUA